GUAGUACUCCCUCCGUUUGGAAUUAUUUGUCACAAAAAUGGAUGUAUCUACAACUAAAAUACAUCUAGAUACAUUCAUUUCUUGGACAAGUAAUUCUGAACGGAGGGAGUAUGUA
rnacentral:pre_miRNA from 1 species